CUGAGCAGGGAGACUGGGAGCCCGGACACCAGGGUUCUGUCUGCAGCGCUAGGAGGGCUCCAUUGGGUAUGCAGGAGGACGUGCCUGCCUGGUGUGGGAACUACCCUCCCGCCCAGCUCUGUGGUGCCAGUGCCUCCCCCUUGCCCCCGGCCUGGACUUUGCCUGGGCUGGCCCAGGACUCGCAGAGCUGCAGGGACUUGGGGGCCAUGCAGCAGCCAGACAUGCACGGAGCAAAGCGGGACUCAGCCCCCCUGCCUACAACACCUGCCAGAUACCUGGGUCUAUGGUAAGCUGUUUGCCCAUGGUCCCAGAUGACUGGGUUCCUGGGGCCACCCAUUUCCCCUCCUUUGGGUUCAUCCCCUCACUGGGGAUCAUGGCAAAUGACUUUCUCUUCCCAGAUGCCUGGGUUCAUGAUCUGUUCUCUUACCUCCAUCCCUCCCUUGGGGUGAAAGGGAAGUUUCUUUCCCACCCUGGACACCUGGGUUCCCAGUCUGACUCCCACAUCCCUGUUGGACCUGUGGUUCUUCCCCCUGCCCCAGACACCUGGGUUCCUUCCUCCCCACCCCCUCCCCAAGUCGCAGCACUUUUCCCCUCGCACUUGAACACGAAUCCACAGUGGAGCACUGCCCUCACUCAUCUCCCACCAUUAGGCCAUUUGUGGGACUUGGUCAUAGCAGGAGACUACAUGGUGUAGGGGGUGGAGAUCAGGACCAGGACACCUGGGUCCCAAGGAAAGUGGGGGCAACAGUUUAAUUUCCAGGCAAGAAAUAAGAAGAAAGUGGGGAGAAAAAGGUUUGAAGGUACAGCAUAGAGUGAGGCUUAGGAGUCUGAACACCUGGGUUCUUUCCCAGCUCUAGGAGGGAAGCGGGUCGGGGAGGGUGUUGAGCAAGGUGCUGGGAUAUAACCCAGGUGUCCAGGUUCCCAGCCCCUCACUCUCCACCAGGGAUGGGCAAUUGUUUUGGGCAGAGGGCCGCUUACUGAGUUUUGGGAAGCCAUCGAGGGCCACAUGACAGGCAGCUGGGGGCAGAUAAAUAUUAAUUUUCUAAAUUUUUUAGGGGCCUUGCAGGCCAGAUAGAAUGGCCUGGCGGGCCACAAUUUGCCCACCCCUGCUCUACACCCUCCAGACCUGCUCCCUUCCCAGAACUGGGAUGGAACCCAGGCGUCCAGGAUCCCAGCUCUGGGAGGUGAGGGUCGAGGGUCUGGGGGUGUUGAGCAAGGUGCUGGGAGCCUGGACACCUGGGUUGUAUCCCAGGUCUGGGAAAGGAGCCAGUCUGGGAGGUUAAAGCAGGAGGAUCUGGGAGCCGGGAUGCCUGGGUUCUCUCCCAGCGCUAGGAGGAAAGCGAGUCUGGGGGGCUUAGAGCAGAGGGCAGGGCUAGGAGCCGGGACUCCUGGGUUCACUCCCAGCUGUGGGCAGGAACCAGGCUCCUCCUGAGUAAGAGCAAGGGCAGGCAGGACACCUGGCUCUAAUCCAGCUCCAGGAGGGGAAGGGCUCAGACUCCAGGGCUUGAAAUGAAUCCACCGGGAACCACCAGCAGCCGCUAGGAGCCAGGGGCACCACAGGCCCCACCCCCCACACCCAGCACCAGGGGCCAAGCGCUGGGUGAGGACCCAGGGCCCAAGGCUGGGUACAGCCUGGGACCCCUGCUGCCCCACAAGGCCCCUGCCCUGUGCCUGUCAUAUCACACACGACAUGAGCUGGAAAGACUCAGCCUCUGCUGUUAGUGGCCCUGCCAAGAGGAGUGAAGGGCGCUGGGAGGCGCGGAGGCUGCGGGUCGGGAGCAAGGGGCAUCGGCAGGGCAUAGGGUGCCCCUCACUCUCAACCCGCAGCCCCUGCCCCACCAGCCCUGGUGUAACGUGCCCAGGACACCUUCCCCACAUGAACCCGCCUGUCCCAGCCAAUGCACCACGGCCUGGGGGGGCCCAGACUCAGCUUCACCCUGUGUCCCCCCGGCCCAUCUCCGGGCCUCCCCUGGGCCCCACGGCCCCCGCCCCGGGAGGCUCCCGCCGCUCCGCCCCUUCUGUCCCAGCAGGGCCGCGGCUCCCCCGGGACAGGUGCGGAGCAGGAUCCGAUGCGGGCGAAGGUGAGCACGGCCGGGCCGGCCCCGCGCAACACCACGGCAGGGCACGGGGCGGGAGUGCGUGGCUCCGGGCGGGGGGCGGUUAGAGGGGCAGCCCGAGCCGGGCCAGUGCCCUCACUCCCGACCCGGCCGCCCGCACUCACCCCGAGCCGGGCACGGGCCCAAGUCCCCGGCGCCGCCACUGCUGCCAUAGCCGGUGUCACCGCCAAUUCCCCCCCGCCCCCUCCCCCUGCCACGGCCUGGCCACGCCCCCUCCCCGUCGCCCAAUAAGGACCCGCCCCCCGCGAGAGUCCCCGCCAAUGGCAGAGGGCACCCGCCGCGGAGACCCGCCCCCUACUAGCCUCCCCCAAUAACGGGCGCCCAAAGGAGCCGCGGCCCCUCCUCGUGGCCCCGCCCCCAGUCUGGCCCCGCCCCGAGGGGCCCCCUCCUCCAACGGAGGGCGGGGCAGGGGGGACCCUACCCCGAUCAUAUUUUCCUGAGAGGAGGGGGGCGUGGGGGAGCCUGGCCAAUCAGGUCAUCCCGUCGCUCCCACUCCCACCCCAGCAGCCAAUGGGAGCCGAGGACUGGCACCCCCUCCCUCCCCCCAAGCAUGGGGUACGGCCUGCCCUCCCCCAGCAGCUGCAGGCCGAGGGGGGGGAGACACUGCUUUGGGGGAAGCCCGCAGCCCCCCCUAUAAGGCCUGGGCAGAGACAAGGGGCCCUUGGCGGGGGCGGCCCUGCCCUCCCCGAGCAGCAUCCAUCCCCUCGGGCAGCCCCACGCGUGCCUGCUAACUGCUCCCUGGGCUCCAUUUCCAGCCCUUAAUCACCGCUCCUGGAGAACAAAGGGGAGCGUAAUUGAGCUCAUUGAUUUCUGGAGCAGCCUUCGGCCUCGCUAGCAGCGGGAGGAGCUCCCUAGGGCUGGGAUUAGCCUGCACCGGGCUGGGGCUGGUCGGACACAAGCCCCAGCUCCUGGGGUGAGGGGCUGCCACAGGCUCCAAUGAAAGCUAGUGGGAAACCAGCAGUAAGAGUUGAGCUGCUCCCCCUUUCCAGGGGUGCUAGUUGCAGGAUACUGGCAGAUAAGGUUCUUUGGGUAGAGGUGAUCUCUUUUAUUAGACCAACUAAAUACUUGGAAAAAUUGCUCUUUGCAAGCUUUCUGGCACAAACGCCCUUCUUCAGGUGUUCAGACUCCCUCUGCCUGAAGAAGGGUGUUUGUGCCCAAAAGCUUGCAAAGAACAAUUUGUCCAACUCCCUAGUUGGUCUAACAGAAGAGCUCCCAUCUACCCAAAGAACCUGGUCUGCUUUAUACCCUUUCAAGUGCUGACUCCGUAGCUGGUCAGCUCUUUUUUGCAGCUGCUGCAGUGUGAUCCUUGUUUUGCAUGUGGAGCCCAUCUACAUUUAUUGUCCAAUUCACCAGUGAGGAUACUCCCUCAGCUGGGAGGAGAUACCCCCCCCCCUCCAGGUACCCAAUAAAACUUAGAUCACAAGA